rnacentral:antisense_RNA from 1 species
GGGGGAGAAUGGGCAUCCCACCCCAGCACUUUCUAGGAAGGAGGGCAGCAUUUUGAAGGGCUGGAAGUAGAGGAAGGAGGUUGCGGGUAGAAGACUCCAUACUUUCUGUGAUGCCUAUUCCUUAGCUUGAGAUGAAUGUUUUCUCAGUAUCCUAUGCUGAAAACAGGUAGAUACUAAUAUCGAUCUUCAAGGGAGGGCUGUUGAGUUUUGAAUAAGACAAAAACAUGGAAGCAAUCAGCACCAUGCUGGAGAGCCUUUAUAUAACCAAAGAUAUUUUUGGACCAUGAAUUCGGAAAUUCUCGGAGCCACCCAUCAGUGCCUGAGCUUCAGUGAGUCCAUAUCCCAUGUCACCCACGGCAAAGGAGAAUCUAAGACUUCUGAAGAGUUUCUUGCUUCUUUCCUGUGGGGCAGUGACUCCACUUCCCAGCAGUAAUGGAAUAUCCUGAAUUAGCUACAUUAAUGUUAGAACCAUUUGGACCUCACCCAGGACUUCAACUACAUUAUGCUAAAGUUACAGAACCCAAAUUUGGCAACUGUCUGCAUCUGAACAACAGAAGUUUCAACAUUCUGCCAACAGAGUAACUCCUGGACGAUUGGCACAGAAGGCACAAGGCCCUCCAAACACCAGCACUGAGUAGAAAGAGGCUCUGAUUCAUGAAAUGUGAAUUUAUGACAGUUGCCACUCUUAAAAAAAAAACAAACAGACAGAACUUGAGCAAUACAUGACUGAUGCAUUCUCAGCCUGCUUCCUGUGUUCCAUCUGUCUUUCUGCCAGUGCAUUCACCCUCCAGGUUCUAGUAUGUUAGGUUUAUGUUCCCCUGCUUUCUACAAUCCUGUUCAAAGAGUUGCUGACUUAACCAC